AGAAUGUAAAGAUGGCUGUACAAGAAUGGCACAUGUUUUUAUGGCUCUUUCUAAUGUUGCUUGUAUUUAGCGGCGAAGCUUUGAAAGAACCAGAAGAAGCGUGAGUUGUGAAAUUCAUCUCCCAGAACUUCCAAAGUGUUCUUCACUGGAAACCAAGAAAUGGGGAAGACAAAUCCACCAUGUACUUCGUGCAACAUCAACAGCAGCUCUCAUGGGGCCUCCAAAAACAGAGGUGAUUUCCUUUGAAAAGUCAAUCCUGGUU